CUCGCACACACGACUCUCCUGCCCUCCACUCUCGAUCCCCUCCCAUCGCCGCCGCCCUCGGCUCUCGAUCCCCUCGAGUAAGCUGCGUCGCCGUGGUCUCUCGAUUCCCUCGAGAUCGUUGCGCCGCCAUCCCCUCGAGAUCCCCAGAUCUCACACCGCCACCGCCGGUGCCUCCUCCUCUGGCGACGCAGCGAACGAGAGCAGGGCCGCAGUACACGGGUGGCUGCCUCGUGCCCCCGAUGUCCAGGAGUACGUCUAAGAUCGUCAUGUGUUCUUCCCCAUCAAGUUCGCCUGUUGACUGGUUCGCGAAGGUUUCGGCAGAUCCGUUUUCGCCCUGGAUGUGAGUCGCAUACCGGCGACUUUGGCGGUCCGACCUCGUGCGCGUCGUCCUCACCAUCAACCCCAAGUCCCUCCUCCAGUGGACCAUUGAACUCCACAACCAAUUUCUUCGACGCUGUCAUGCAGGUUCGAGUCCAAACAGUGAGGAGAUUGAUUCAUGCGUGCUUGUUUCAGUCCAGAUCUCUAAAUAAAUGUUCCGAACGAGGAAGGUAUGGGAGAUUGGCAGUGUCAAGCAUAUGUUUCCUUACGUCUCCUUCUGUACUCCAGCUGGUACAACUUCCUGUACUUUCUCAUAUUUUUUUGGUUAAUUGUGAUAUGUAUUUAUUUCAGCUCACACCUCGGUUCCAGUAAGACUUCUGUUCUCUUAUUGCAUAUUAGGGUUGUAGUUUUUGAUACUACUCCUACAGGGAAUACUUUAGGGUUGCUGCAGUUCCGAUCAACACUUGAGAAGAAAAAUGAUGCGAGUAAAGAAUAGCUUCAGUGGUCUAUUGAAUCAGGUGUUCCUUAAUCUUGAUAAAUUCCAAUCUAUUGGGAAGCUACGAUUGUUUUCAUGUGUAUGCCCACCGCCGUGUUGCUUUUAUUCUGAUUUUAACUCUGAAGAACUAACAUAUUAUGCAUCUGUUCAUUCCAACAUGACAAUACACUGUAUAAUUUACGAAAGAAGAUGGGCAUGAUAGUCUGUUCUUGGUUCCUUAGAACAUGGCCUACCAAUAUGUUGAGGAAUUAACUGCAUCCUGAAUAAAAGAUGAUUCCUUAAUUGUUUGAUUUGUUGAGUCUUACAUAUAAAUAGAUACUGUGAUCCAUGGAAUUCUUCCAUUGUUUGUAUUGAAGUUAAAUGACAAUAUGCUCUUCAUAUAUACUUUCAAUAUAGUAGAAUAUUCAUUUGGGAUAAACUGACUUGUUCUAUUUGAAAGUGCUGCACCGGCACUAAUAAACAAAUCCAAUCUCAUGUCAUCUAUUUAUUCUGACAAUGGUGCCAUGUAGACUAGGAAUUAGAAAAAAAAACAAGUACUAGGAUACAUUGCAAACUAUGGAACGAAAGAAACCUACCUGAAAAGGCCUCAGCAGUUCUACUUAUGAGCCGGAUAAUGCAGCAUUAUAGGAUGAUCCAUUCAUAUGCAUACAAAGGCUUCAAUUUUGAUUUACAUUCAAUUUCGUCCGAAUAUUGAUUUUUCUUUAGUUUAGAUCAGCUAUGAUUUAGGUACUACAGUUGUAUAGGAUGAUCCACUGCCAUUCAUACAGAGGUUCCAGUCUUGAUUAUGUUUCGGUUGAAUUCAGUUUUUCGAGUCAGCCCAUCUCAGCUCUAUGUGUGACAUUCAUAAGAUGACCCCAUAAAAUUAGCAAAAGACGUGUUUUGGCCGGUGCAGGCUGGAGGACCCUGACUUGGAGGAGACGACAGAGUUCAUGGCGAGCAAGGCGGACUUGGCCGAGUCCAUGCUUUCCUGGUUAGGGAGAGCCUCCAACACAAGGUCAUGUGUUGCUUCUCUCCUCUAUUUGGAUUUUAUUAAUUGGUGUCUUUUUUACUGAUUCCUUCGCUAUUGCUGUGCGCUCCUAGGUUUAGUCCAUGUCUCUCUAGAUUACUUCUAUUUCGUACGGAUGGUCUUGAGUUUGCACAAUUCCAGGAUGUCAGCUCGCCGCACAUGUGAUACUUAUUGUUAAUAGUUAUAGAAUUCCCUGGGUGUUCUUUGUUAUUUUUGUGCACAGAAGUUGUUUGUGUCUUCGUCCGAGCCAAUUUCAGUUACAAAUCCCCGAGUUAAGCUACAUGUGGCUAACAACAUUGCAUAUGAAGCUCUCGUCUUUGACUAUAAGUUUGACAUGUGGUAAGAGUUUUUCGGUGGUUGAUAUCCUGCACCUUAGACAUGUUUAUAGACUUAUAGAUAGAAUAUUCUUUCUUAUUUAUAGUGGAUCUGUUGUUGGUGCCUUACUACAAAGUACUGGUGUUUUGUGGCCACUACUAAUGAUAAUAGUAUUCUUUAUGCUAAGGUGCAGAUAAAAUAUUGAAGGGUGGAAGUCUGUUAAUCAUUCGAUUAGCCAAUUUUUGUUAUUUAGCAACCAGUUUGACUCAUACAAUUAAAGUCUGAUUGUUGUAGUAAAUAAUGUUGCUAAGAACUUCAAGGUACCGCGUUUUUCCAAUUGUUGCCACUUGGCAAAAAUUAUUGUUUUUAGAAGUAACAAGUAGUUUAAAAAUUGUGGUAGCCCGUAGCAACGCACGGGCGUUCUCCUCUUGAUUCUCCGUUGUGCGACGUCGCAACUUCUUCUCCAACUCUGCGGGUGUAGGUUGAUCGAGGGUCGAAUAAUGGACGUAACACAGCUGCUAGAGAAGAGAUUAUAAUAUGGAAAACAGCAGAUGAGGAGGAAGCUGAAGUUGGUACAUCAAGUGAGCAAGAGUUCCAGACCCAGGUUACACCAAGAACAAGUGCCUCAGAUCAUUCAUUUUUCAGGCAGCGGAAGGAUCACUCCCACUCCCCUCGCGUCGCCCACCUGAGGGCGACUCGAGGGUACCCUCGCCCCAUCCGCCGUGACCACCCCUCUAAGGAUCUCACCGCCUCGACCAAAAUGUGAUUUGAGGCAAAGUCUGCGUUUGAGGCAAGGACAAUAAAAAUGAUGGAGCUUUUGGUCUUCAGCACCUUGAAAUGGAGGAUGCAAGCUGUUACUGCUUGCUCGUUUAUUGACUACUUCCUUUGCAAAUUCAAUGAUCAUGACACACCCUCCAUGCUCGCAUUCUCCUGCUCAACUGACCUCAUCCUGAGCACAGCUAAGUGAGCUGAUUUUUUGGUGUUCAGACAUUCAGAGAUUGCUGGAAGUGUUGCACUUCCUUCAUUUGGGGAGCACAAGACUUCAGUUGUCGAAAUGGCUACAACUAAUUGCAAGUAUAUAAACAAGGGAGCGUUCUAUGAUGUGACGUGAUAAGAAAGAUCCUGAUGAAGUGCUUCCUUUAUGGAAUGCCUAUCUGAAGUUUGGACUAAGAGACUUGCUAAAGAGAAAUAAGAUUCAAAGUAGAUGUUUUUAUUGUAGAUUAGGAUAUGUGUGUUCCACCACCGGUUUGACUUCUCAUAUUAGAAGGCAAGCAGUUAGUUCAUAUCUUACUACUUUGCACUAUUGUAGAGGGAUAGUGAGGGAUUGAGAUGCUACUACUAUUUGUAUUGCUGUCGAUGCUUGCACAAUGCUACUGCUUAUUAUACUUGUGUAUUUAUCUUUGGAAUAAAAAACAAUCAU